UACGGGGGGAGCAAGCGUUGUUCGGAUUUACUGGGCGUAAAGGGCGCGUAGGCGGCGCAACAAGUCACUUGUGAAAUCUCCGGGCUUAACCCGGAGCGGCCAAGUGAUACUGUCGUGCUAGAGUGCGGAAGGGGCUACUGGAAUUCUCGGUGUAGCGGUGAAAUGCGUAGAUAUCGAGAGGAACACCUGCGGCGAAGGCGGGUAGCUGGGCCGACACUGACGCUGAAGCGCGAAAGCCAGGGGAGCGAACGGG
rnacentral:rRNA from 1 species